rnacentral:rRNA from 1 species
AGAACGAACGCUGGCGGCAGGCUUAACACAUGCAAGUCGAGCGCCCCGCAAGGGGAGCGGCAGACGGGUGAGUAACGCGUGGGAAUCUACCCAUCUCUACGGAACAACUCCGGGAAACUGGAGCUAAUACCGUAUACGCCCUUCGGGGGAAAGAUUUAUCGGAGAUGGAUGAGCCCGCGUUGGAUUAGCUAGUUGGUGGGGUAAAGGCCUACCAAGGCGACGAUCCAUAGCUGGUCUGAGAGGAUGAUCAGCCACACUGGGACUGAGACACGGCCCAGACUCCUACGGGAGGCAGCAGUGGGGAAUAUUGGACAAUGGGCGCAAGCCUGAUCCAGCCAUGCCGCGUGAGUGAUGAAGGCCCUAGGGUUGUAAAGCUCUUUCAACGGUGAAGAUAAUGACGGUAACCGUAGAAGAAGCCCGGCUAACUUCGUGCCAGCAGCCGC